AGCAAAACAAAACAAAAAAACCGACAUUGAAAAUGGAGGCUGCUGAGGCUAGCAGGGUAGCUACUUACCCCUGUGCCUCCUCUUGUUAGCAUAGAGGAACCAUGAGUCACAUAUACUCUUUACAAGGAAGCAGCUGAUCCAUGUGGUCAUGCCUUGGUAUAGGCCUCCACAUACAUUAUGUAUCAAGCAUGUGGCACUUGCUUCUAGAAGCCUGCCUGGAAAUGUGGCCCCUGAACCUGCUUUACAAAGGACCCGGUGUGCCUCAGCUGGAUGGGGAAGGGAUGACACUGUGGACCAAGAUGGCAAGACUAACCAAGGUGUCCUGUGACUUUCCCUGGGUAGAUGUAAACAGAUGCUUGUUCAUUUCGGUCAGGCCUCUGGCAACAGACACCAUGCAAAUCAUGGUGGCUCAUGAACCGGUAAGGUUUCUAGGCCUAUUCAUAUGAGCAUGGGUGUCUCAGAGCCCACCCCAGCAUGGGCAAGGACUCCCCUAAACUGCAUCCUUGAUGUCCUUGUCAAACUCACCAGCAGCUCGACCAAAGAAGAUGCUUCCCAUCCCCAGCAAUCGUUCGUGCUUGCAUAACCUUGGAGAAGGGCUUGUGAAACCGGCAGCUUUGUAAUCUUGAUAAGCUUUAUUAGUUCCUGGAAUCCCAUGAGGCCUCCCUUCCAUCCCCUGCCCCGAGGAGUGUUUCAGAAGAAAUGGGUUCUCAACAAAAGACUUGAGGACUCUGGCUGUGUGUAGGGCUGCUGAGGAGGGCAGGCCUUGUCUGCAGUUUCUAGGUAUCCCAGUGAGCUGACGGUUUGCAGAAGAAAAGCCCAGGAGGCAACAGUCCAAAUGAGGGGGCCAGUGAACUCACAGGUAACAGUGUGAACUAAUUCUGUAGACUUAUGAAAAUGCCACAUUGUAUCAAGCAGAACAUUAAACUUGAGGUUUUCAAACUUGGCUCUUAUGGCAUUGGAGAGAGCUUUGAAUCCCCGGACGGCCUUUGAUGGAGGUUAGAGCCCAGGGGCAUAGAGAGGAUGUAGAUAAUCCCAGAGCAUCUGGGAGGCUAAUCUAUGUCAGUAAUGAUUGGGGGAAGACUAUGACUGUAACUGGGACUCCUCCCUGGGGUGUCGGGCUUGUGGAGGAGUGAGGAGGUGCCAUUACCUAAAGUCCACCAUCCUGGUUGUCCACAAGUGCUGGAGGCCUGGCCCAUGUGAACUUCGUGUGUUUCAGAACUCAGGUUAAAGUUCUGGGCCAGAGCAAUCUUUAAUUACCAUCAGCAAAUGCAUGUUAAUUAAGGUCAGGAGAGGAGGUAAAUUGCCGAGGGAGACUGUGAUUAUGAAGACAGACCAAGUCUGGCCCUGGAGAAUACCAAGGUAAUUAGGAGGUAGAGAAAAAAAAUGACAGAAAUGGCUGAGAAGAGAGCCAAGCAUAAUGUGGUCUUCUUGCCUGUUCUUCAGUCUGGGCAAGCCCAGCUGACAAUGCCAUGAGGGCUUUGGGACAAGGACGUAAGGGUAGGAAGAAGGCUCAUCAGCUCUGGAGUACUGGAGGCCCCCAAGAGGUUGAAACUCAGACUCCCCCACACCCCAACCCCCAAGCUGUGGAAUGGAGGUCCAAGAUGGCAGUCCCUUUCCUGCCUCUACUUGCUUCCUGUGGGAGAUAGCAGCCCCAAGCAAGAGCAGCACCUCCAGGUGAGAGCCCAGCCUCAGAACUCACACAGCUCGCCGGCUCUUCCAAACCACUACAACACUUGCUGGUCCUGCCAGCUCUCAAGACAAACCUUCCAGCCCUGGAGAUCUCAGAGGCUCUGACCAUGAAGCCCUCAUUAAGGCUUAGCCUCAUGACUAACUAGGUCAGAGACUGCUCAUCAUUUAUCCACAGAGGCCCUGCAGUUUGUUCAGGCUGGUGUGGGAGAACAGAAAGGAUGCAGUGAGCAGCCUGAAGCUGCCCCAGGGCACACACCUUGACUGUGAGAACAGUGGCUUGCAUCACUUGGUCCUCAACCAUAACCUGUCACUGGAGCCAGGAAUGAAUCCUCCAUGACUUGACAUGCUGGCCUGUGGGAGCUACUACGGCAAGAGAGGACACAGCCAUCCUGAUCUGCACUUAGAAUAGGGAUCUGCUUGGCUAGAGAAACACAGCAUAGGACAUAAACACCAUGUGAAAGUGCAAUUAAGUCAGGUGCUGGUGUGACAUGUGACACGUGACAUGGGACCCUGCGAGCCAAGGCAAAGGGACAGAUUUGAUCCUGGGGGUACCAGAGAUUGCUUGGAUGGAAGCCAAUGGACAGUAGGAGGCAAAAGAGCCACUCCAGUUGGAACGAAACAGAAUCCCCCCAGGGCUCUCGGAGAACUUGACUGUCUGUCAGCAGGGGGAUGCCACCAAUCAUCGCUGAUUGGUUCCCAUUCCCUCCUCAUCAGCACGCUGUAUCCCUGCCUGCUUCUGCUUCCCCACCCGAUGCCUGCAGUGUUGUCCACUCUGUCCUGUGCCGCAACUCAGCUUCACCUCACCCCUGUCUUUGCGCAGCUGAGGUGCCGGCGCCAAGCACCAACGUCAUGUGAACUUCUUGUCCUUGAAGUGACGUUAGCGUAACACGGGACCAGCUAUUUUACCGCAUUCAAGGUGUGGCAUUUAGUAAAUUCACAAAGUCACGUAGCCUUUCAAAUUCCCAAGUGCCUUACUGCUCCUCCUGGCUUAUCCAUUCCCGGUCGUCUGCCUGCCUGUGGUGUUGCCUCUUCUAUGAUUUCGUGGGAAUGGGAUCUCUUUACAUGUACUCCUUUGUGUGUGUACUUUAUCUUAGUGUGAUGUUUUUAGGCUAGUCAGUGCUGUAUUGUAUGCUGGUACUCCAGGGCUUUUAAUCACCAAAUAAUAUCCCAUUGCACAGACAGUCCCCUUUGCUUUGUCCAUGGGUCCCUCGUGGCUGUGGGGACUAAGACUCGUGAUGGCAAACAGCGAUGCUGCGCAUGCGCACCCAUGGCAGGGAGGGAUCCCCGGGUGGUGUGGUCAUCCCACAAAGGCUCACGGGAGGCCGUGAUUUUCUAGCACUGCACUACAGGGUACAGGCCUCCUGAUGUUCCAAAUGUCUGAUUCCUUUGGCAAGAUUCUAGGUAGUCAGAGGGAAUGGGCAGGAUCCACUUACAUGUGUAGUAGAGCGAGGUCAGAACUACCUACAGAAGCACAGAAACAAUGGGGCUGCCCCAGCAGUGCCCAGCGGAGAGGGUCUGAAGGUAGCAAGCUCCAGUGGAAUAGGAGGCUUCUGUGAGCCACCAAGGGCCUCCCUGGA
rnacentral:sRNA from 1 species